AUUGAACGCUGGCGGCAUGCCUAACACAUGCAAGUCGAACGGUAACGCAAGAAGCUUGCUUCUUGGCGACGAGUGGCGGACGGGUGAGUAAUGCUUAGGAAUCUGCCCAGUAGUGGGGGACAACUCGGGGAAACUCGAGCUAAUACCGCAUACGCCCUACGGGGGAAAGCGGGGGAUCUUCGGACCUCGCGCUAUUGGAUGAGCCUAAGUCGGAUUAGCUUGUUGGUAGGGUAACGGCCUACCAAGGCGACGAUCCGUAGCUGGUCUGAGAGGACGAUCAGCCACACUGGGACUGAGACACGGCCCAGACUCCUACGGGAGGCAGCAGUGGGGAAUAUUGGACAAUGGGGGCAACCCUGAUCCAGCAAUGCCGCGUGUGUGAAGAAGGCCUGCGGGUUGUAAAGCACUUUCAGUAGAGAAGAAAAGCUUAGGGUUAAUAACCCUGAGUCUUGACGUAACCUACAGAAGAAGCACCGGCUAACUCCGUG
rnacentral:rRNA from 1 species